CCCUAUAAUCACCAAAUCCACAUAUAUCUACAACGUUAUUAUCCAAAUACACACAAAUUUCUCUGCAUUAUUUCAAUUAAAUUUAACAAAAUAAUUAAGAAAAGGGAAGGAGAAGAGACGAUGUCGUUUGGUCCAGAGAAAAUGGUUCAUAGGUCACGAAAGAGCUCACUCUUCUUCUUUAAACCGGUGCACAACGACGCUUCAUCUUUUCCUUGUUUGCGAUCUCCGAUGAUGUUGCCACCGUCACUUCCAUCAUGGCUCUCAAAUCUUAUUCUCAGAUUCCAUUCACUCACAAGUUUCAUUCAACCUUCGCCAUGA